UACAGAGGUCUCAAGCGUUGUUCGGAUUCAUUGGGCGUAAAGGGUGUGUAGGUGGCGCGCUAAGUCGGGUGUGAAAUUUCGGAGCUUAAACUCCGAAGCUGCAUUCGAUACUGCGGUGCUUGAGGACUGGAGAGGAGACUGGAAUUCAUGGUGUAGCAGUGAAAUGCGUAGAGAUCAUGAGGAAGACCAGUGGCGAAGGCGGGUCUCUGGACAGUUCCUGACACUGAGGCACGAAGGCCAGGGGAGCAAACGGG
rnacentral:rRNA from 1 species